rnacentral:lncRNA from 1 species
GUCCUCUUCAAUGGCAGCGAGCGGAGUGCUCACGUCGCGAUCGUCGGUGUUGCCGAACUCGAAGCAGACCCAGAACAUCAGCCGCCUCUCCUUCAGCGGCUCUCAUCUCUCCGGGACCAAAAUCCCUGCCCCGCCCCCAGCACCUGUACGAGGAAAUGCCCCACUCACAGAGGCCCGCCGCUGGUUGUCUCUCCGAAAGCUGUUUCCGAUUCCAAGAACUCCCAGACGUGUCUUGAUCCCGAUGCGAGCCGGGUAAGUGAUUCAUUUCUCUCCCUCUCUAUCGCAUUUCGUGCUUUUGUUUCUAUGCAUUCGCAUAAUGUGUUCUUGUUUAGAUUGAAAUUUUGGGAAUUUUGUUUGUGUUAAUGUGUAGAGUGUGUUGGGGAUUAUCCUGGGUGGGGGAGCUGGGACGAGGCUUUACCCAUUGACCAAGAAGCGUGGGAAGCCUGCUGUUCCAUUGGGAGCAAACUACAGGCUGAUCGAUAUCCCAGUCAGUAAUUGCCUCAACAGAAACGUGUCCAAGAUCUAUGUGCUGACCCAGUUCAAUUCCGCUUCGCACAAUCGCCAUCUUUCUCGUGCUUAUGCCAGUAACAUGGGUGGCUACAAAAAUGAAGGCUUUGUUGAGGUUCUUGCUGCUCAGCAGAGCCCCGAGAAUCCCAAUUGGUUUCAGGUGAUGAAAAGCUUGUUUCAAAUUGUGGGGUUGUGUUGGAAAGCGGGUUUCGAUUGGUUUUUGAGUAUGGAUUUUUGGUUUUCAUUGGUUUUUGAGUUGGGAUAUUUGGUUUUGGUGCUUUACAGGGUACCGCGGAUGCCGUGAGACAGUACUUGUGGUUGUUUGAGGAGCACAAUGUAUUGGAAUUUUUAGUUCUUGCUGGGGAUCACUUGUAUAGGAUGGACUAUGAGAGGUUUAUUCAGGCGCACAGAGAAACUGAUGCAGACAUCACUGUGGCUGCUCUGCCCAUGGAUGAGAAGCGCGCUACCGCCUUUGGUUUGAUGAAGAUUGAUGAAGAGGGAAGGAUUAUUGAGUUUGCUGAGAAACCUAAAGGGGAGCAGCUCAAAGCUAUGAAGGUGAACGAUCCACUUGCAGAUUGUUUUUCAUUAUUUAGUGCAUUACAUAUUCGUUUCAUUGUGAACUUCGAUUGCUUGUGGGUUUAGGUGUGUGAUUGAUUAGUGAUGCAAAAUGUUGUUGUUUCUGUUUUUGUUAUAUAGGUUGAUACUACUAUCCUGGGUCUUGAUGAUGAGAGAGCAAAAGAGAUGCCUUAUAUUGCCAGCAUGGGUAUAUAUGUUGUGAGCAAAAAUGUGAUGUUAGAUCUACUUCGAGACAAGUUUCCUGGUGCAAAUGAUUUCGGGAGUGAAGUUAUUCCAGGCGCAACUUCCAUUGGUUUGAGAGUAAGUUUUUAUUCAUAUAUUUUAUUCUGUAAUUUCUAUGAAAGAUCAAUCAAAAGAGGUGGAAAAGAUUGGAAUAAUUGUUGGUAUUACAUAAUUGCAAAUAUCUUUCAUUCGAAACUGAACAAAUCUCUUUGUACUGAAAAAGAUAGUGUCCUAAAUUGAUUUUAUAUGAUCUGCUAAAUAUUUCCCAGUUCCAUAGUUUCUGUCCCCGCUACCCUUCAUCUGGAUAUUCAUCUCCCAAAAUACUAAUUAUUAAUGCCUACAGGUUCAAGCUUAUUUGUAUGAUGGCUACUGGGAAGAUAUUGGUACCAUUGAGGCUUUCAGCUUUCUACAACGCAAACUUGGGGAUAACAAAAAAACCAGUUCCAGAUUUCAGGUACCUUUUAUUCUAUAACUUGUUUGUAUUCCUGUUUUGUUUGGCCAAUUCAUAUGUUAUGCUAUCAGUUUGAUCUGGAUUUAGUAUUCCGGCCUAAUUUUGAACUUUAUACUGUAACUUUUAUGAUCAUUCAUCCCCAAUUUAGUAUUCCUGUUCGUAUAUUGAUGCGUGAUAUUUUUUUAUUCGGGUUGUUAAAUUCAUGUUAUUGACAAAAAAAUCAUAUGGGAUUUAUUUUGAUUCAAGGGAUAUUUUAAUCUAGAGUAAAGAGCGGGGAGGGGUAUUCGAAGUUGAGUUUGGGUGCAGAAGGGGAGCACGCUGCACUAACGAACUUGCUUACGCCACUGGAUAUGGUCUUUAUUAAAAACAGGUAGAGAGUAUAUGCAUAGAUGUUAUGUGUAUUAUGUGUGUGUAUAGGCAUAAAAUUUUUAGAUCUCAUGUUGAUUUCUAUUAUACUAUGUAUGUGUGUUGAUUGUGGAGAAUGUGAUGUAGCAGUGAUGCGCAUGUUUGGGGAUGGAAUUCUUGUUGAUUUCUUGGCAUAGAGUUUUUACUUCCACUUCAUGGAUUCUGAUAACCAUUACAACAGCAACAACAACGACAACAAUAGCAGGAACAAUGAUUCAGCCACAAUAAAAAUAAAUUCCCAUGCUGAGGUCAGCUUUAAAUUCUUUAGCUGUAUAUAGUAUCAAAGGCAUUUUCUUUUGGUAGCAGUGAUAAUCUUUGGUAACAAAGAUUUCGACUCCACAGAUGGGAUCAACACAGCCCAAAUCAGUGUUUGAGUUUGAGGAUCAGAGCCUAGUUGGGGGCGAGAAGCAUUCAUUGGACGAGGCUCCCCUCAGGGCUCUAUAUUCUGGUGGUGCAAAUGACUGUUGUCCCCAUGUCUUGAAGAAUAGUGUUGUCGAUAGCAUCAGGAUUGUAGUUUUCUCUGCCAAAAUUAAUUUGCUCAUUCCUUUUGGCCCUUUAGCAAUCGUAGCAAUCGUGGUUGAUAAAUUAACCGGCCAUCAUGUGAGUUUUCACUAUCUUUUUCUGUGUGCGAAUCUCUCGGAUCAUCACACGAUUGUAUGCCUAGUUUAUUUGAUUUUUUUAACGCGUUUCAGGGUUAGGUCUUUCUUUUAAGCUUGUUGGGAAUCAUACAUUUGGCGGAGCGAUUAGUCUAUGCCACAGAGUAAGAUUUCUUGCAUUCUCUUUGUAUUCUUUGUUUACAAAAAGAAAUGUUUACAAGUGGAAUCCAACAGCCUUGUUUGAACAACCAUCCAGUUAACUUGAUGUAUUAGAAAACAACAUUUGUUAGUGUUUUAGCAUAUUAGGGUUUAAUCUGCGUGCACAUGAGACGGACAUCCAUAUCAACUUAAUUUGCCAUCGAUAUGCAUUAUUGAGUACCUAAUACAAGCUUGGCUUCUUUUGAUGCAGGCAGCUGGCUUGCUAUACUGGACCAACAGGUAAGCAUGUUGUAAAUGCAAAUAUCCAUUUUUCUAUUUCCAUAGUCUUCAUAAAGCUUCAAGUUUGUGUCACUGAUCAAUGCCAGAUUCCAUAAAUCUUCAUAAAGCUUGUAAGUUUGGUUUGAGCACUCUAAAAUUAUCUUCAUCCAGCCAGUACUUCACCUGCAUCACAUGUUUCCUUUCACAUUUAACCCUAAAUUUUGAAAGCGGUCGCACUAACUUUACAAUUAAUAUUCAUUUGUUGAUCCAAAAAUGUUAUCCAUAACUCCAAUUAUGAGUUAAUUCUGCAGUUGGAGGUGUUUUGAAUGCCACCUUUGGAAACGCAACAGAAUUGAUAAUAUCAAUUUACGCUCUGAAAAGAGGCAUGAUUCGUGUUGUUCAACAAUCCUUAGGCUCAAUCUUAUCGAACGUGUUGCUCGUGCUUGGAUGCGCAUUCUUUGCUGGUGGACUUGUGCAUUCACAGAGGGAGCAAGUGUUCAACAAGGUACAUUUCAUCUGUGAAAAAGAGCGCUUUGUUUAUUUGGUUUUAUUUUCUGUAUUUGAUCUUCCUCGUCUCUCUCUUCACCAACCCCUCUCUCUCCUCUCUCUGUCAAACCAGUUUCUCAUCAAUCUCCAUCCAUGUCAAUAGGCCAUAUCCAAAGGCACCGAGAAUCCCAAAGAUCCCAAGAGGUUAAGUUGUAAGCUCCAAAUAUCCAAUCCCUUUUCAUUCUCAUUAGCAUUAGAUUUCAAGAUCCACAAUUGAAAAAAAAAAAAAUCAAUGUGAAACUUUUUACCUAACCUAUUCAAUGAUUGCUAACCCAACAAUUUUACAUAUUUGUUGGUGUAGCACAUGAAAAUGGAGGUGGCAAGAAAUAUUUGAUGAUUAAAUUGCUACCGAUCAAACCUUAAACAUUACACAUCUCUUUCUCAUCCUCAAUCCGCAUGCUUAUUCAAUCCGCGAUAUUAUUAUAUUUUUUUCCGAUCAUCAACUCCUAUCGGAAGUAUACAUCAGUUUUGGUGAACAAAUUUCGCGACUCUAGCAUUAUUGUUUCGAGAAAGCAUCUACAUUUGCAAAGAUGCAGUCUUUGAGUCGAUCAAUACGAGGUCAAUCAUUACAUGAGCCUCCACCAUUUGCAGAGAAGAUCACAGAAGACCCUGUGACAACGAAAACCGCACAAAGCACGGUGACUUGCGUCUACCUUGCAAAUAUUGCGACAUGUUGGCGGAAGGUGACGAUCAUAUGGUGUAAGAACCUCAUGAACCAUUCCCUCAGCAUUCGGAUUGAUAGCUUAGACGGCGGUUUUCAUUAUACGUGCAAAAUCGACCUAAAGCCAUGGAAUUUUUGGAGCAAAAAAGGGUAUAAGUCAUUCGAGGUCGAAGGGAAUCAAGGGGAGGUUUGUUGGGAUCUUCAUUCUGCAAAAUUUGGCGGCGGCCCAGAACCUUGUUCUAACUUUUAUGUUGCUCUUGUUUGCGAUGAGGAGAUUGUGUUGUUAUUGGGAGACAUGAAGAAAAAGGCAUACAAGAGAACAAAAUCCAGACCAGCCCUUGUGGAGGCACUUUUAUACCACAAAAAAGAAAACGUGUUUGCCAAGAAAAGUUUUGCCACAAGAGUGAAGUUUGAUGAGAAUAUAAAAGAGCAUGACAUUGUCGUGGAGAGCUCAACAUCGGGCUCCAUAGACCCCGAAAUGUGGAUCAGCAUAGAUGGGUUUGUGUUGAUUCAUGUCAAGAAUCUGCAGUGGAAAUUCAGAGGGAAUCAGACCGUAAUGGUGAACAUGCAACCGGUUCAAGUUUUCUGGGACGUGCACGAUUGGCUUUUCAGCAGCCCCGGGACUGGGCACGGGCUGUUUAUUUUCAAGCCAGGGCCGCCGGAAUCAGAGAGCGAUCACGACAGAGAUGGCAACGGCGGCAUAGACAGUGAUCAUAGCAGUCCUUAUUAUUCAACUCAGACUAGUAACUCAACAUCUUCUGACUUCUGCCUGUUUCUUCAUGCAUAUAAGAUUGAGUGAGGGAAACUAACUCAUAGAAAAAGGAAAAAAAAAACAGAAAAUGGUUGUAAAAUUGUAAAUUAUGGUCGUAGCAUUACUUCAUAUAUAAGGUUACUCUAAUAUUCAUUUGAUAAUUUGUAAAUUGAACUUUUUUAACUGUUGGUGUCACCCGUUUAGUGCUGUUAUAGGAUAGUGGGUAGCCUUUGGUAGGGAAGGUAUUUGGAGGAUGAUGAAUGGUGGGAGGCAUAUAUAAUAAUGUAAAAUUGUAUUCGUAUUAUAUAUGCAGGAAAUUAAGAAAAUUAAGGUCUAGAAAUGCUAUUCCAUGAUCUACUUAUUCUUGCAAUUUUUCAAGUGGAUUUAUUAUUAAAUUCUUGCCAUUUUUAUUUUCUGUGUGUGGAAAAUUAAAGGGGUGUUGGUGUAAUGUGGAUAUGGCUAGGGUUUAAGGACCGAUAUUACUGUUAAUUUUCAGGAUAAGAAAGUGAAAAGAAAAUGCUUUGAAUUAAUAUUCAAGUAUCAAACGUUACGACACUGAACUAUGUUCCAGAGUUUAAUUGUAGCCAAAACCAUGAAAAAUGGGUGGAUGAAUUGAUUCAUUUUACACUUGUUUCGAUAGAUUAAUCCAAGGCAAAUCAUGCAAAAUUACUUUUGAUUUUCUUAUUCACUGGUGUUAAAUUGGUUGAAGUGGAAAAAGUUCAAGAAGAUCAAUGGUCAAGAGAUUCUAGCAAAUUAGGGUUACAUAUAUGAAAUUUUAGCAAAAACUUCAUCCAAAUUUUGAAACCACCUGGGAUUCAGACUAGCUAAGCUGCUUCCAAUUUCAACAAAACCUCAUCUGUCUUAACUUUUAAGAGAUGUAUGUCAAAACAUCGAGAAAAACUUGUGUAGGGCUUGACUUGCCAUUGGAUUUUACUAAGUGGCACUACAAUCCAAUCAAAAUUCACCACAUGGUAAGUCUAAGUAUAAUCUUUUAUUUUUUAUAUUUAAAGCUCUUAUAAUUUUUUUCUUACUAAUUAAUAUACACCACGAGAAUAAUUUAGUGAUUUUUUUUUCCUCUUCUCCUCUCCCUCUUUUUUCUUCCCAAAUUUUCUCUACUGUCUUCUUCCCCACUCUUUGUCUUUCCUGUCUUCAUAUGAAUAUGGAAAAAAACAAUUAAGUCAUCUUCUCCCACUAUCAUGAAAUGGAAAAAAAAUAUCCAACACAUAUUUCAUAUUUUACACAAAAGCUGUAUUUUUACAAGAGUUGUUCGUUCAUUUAAAAUUUAAUUAUAUACUUUUAACAAUAUUAUAAAUAAUAAUGAACAUUUUGAUAUUUUAAACACAAAACUUACUAAAGUGAUUAAGAUUGCAAAUGUUGGAAACCCAGUGACCAAAACCGACUGUUGAUGAUACAAGGUGAGUUAGAAUCACAUACCUGAAGAAAACUAUAUUUUUAUAUAUACAUUCAGGUCGGUGAAAAGUAAAAAAGGAAAAAUAGAUUUUGAAAAAUAUUACACAACAAAGGAAAAAGGAACAAACUUCCAUCUCCAUUUUCCUUUUCCCAGCAAUUGAAAGGACUUGGGAAGAAAAUUUUAAUGGCUUAAUUUUUUUUUAUCAUAUUCUUAUGAAGAAAGGAAAGGAAGACACGAGUGGGAAAAAAAACAUUAGAUUAAUCUCAUGGUGUGUAUUAAUUAAUAGAAAAAAUAAUUAUGAGAGCUUUAAAUAUAAAAAAGUAAUAAAAGUUUUAUAUUGUAGAAUUGUCAUGCGGUGAGUUUUGAUUGGAUUGUAGUGUCACUUAGCAAAAUCCAGUGACAAUAUAAGUCUCACACAAGUUUUUCUCCAAAACAUCAGCCAUUAUAUUAAAUUUGAAUAUUUCCUAAUCUGACUUAUUUUCAUUUUAUCAAUAAAUAAUAUGUGAAGUUUGUAUGUUGCAUUGAAAAAGUGUACAAUAUAUACUUUCACAUUUUGGGAAAAAAGGCAUAAUUUAACUACUCAUUGAGAUUGUAUGAAAAAAUAAAAAAUAUGCAUGUAUGAUCGUAAAACGCGUAUUGAACCGCACUAUACUUUCAUAUCUCAUCACUGCACCACCGCGAAGUACUCUUUGUUGGCUCUGAUGGACAGAGGAAGCUAGGUUGGCCGAAAUAUAUUUAUCAGGUCAAACGUGAUGUGCCAUUAAUUUUUUAGAAUAAGAAAAGAUAGAGAAAUUUUCUCAAGCCAAUAUUCAAGUAUCAAGCAUAUAUCAUGCGGCGUGCCAUUAAUUCUAAGGAAAACUAAUGAAAAGGGCUUGAAAACUUUGAGUUUUAAUGAUAAGGACAAAAUAAAGGGUAAAGUGAAUAGUACCAGGAUUGACUUUUUAGUGUAAAAAUGUGGUUUUUCGUUAAAGUGAACAGUACCGGGAGCUUUUCGUUAAAGUUCCCUUAAUUCUACAGUUGAUUUGUUAGAGAAAUUGGUCUAUUCUACUCAUUUGUCACCUAAAACAAGAUUCGAAUCGUACUGUACUUUCUAAAAUUGAAAAGUCGUCACUUAACUCCUUAAAAGUUGAAUUCUAUCUCAAUUGGUCUUCUUUCGUCUACUCUAUCUACAAUCUAAUUAAGUUACUUCUGUGACUUUCAAGGAUUAAGUGACAAAUUUUUAGUUUUGAAUGGGAAAUGAAUAAUCAAAGCAAGCCAUAAACCUUACCCCAUAAAGAAGAAAAAAUAAAUGCCAUUGAUUUAGCUACUUAGUACUACGAUCUUAUGGUAUUCAUUUUCACUUGGAAGUGAGAGUUCUUAAGUUUGAAUAUCAUGAUGGCGAAUUCGAUACCAAAUUAAGCUGCCCAUUGUGUUGCUUAGCCAAACACCUCAUCCGCUUAUUUAAACUACACAAAAAUAAUAAUAAUAAUAAUAAUAAAUAAUAAAAUAAAAAAAAAAAAAAAAAAAAGCGGCACUCGAUCUCCUAGAAAUUGCAAGUGCGCGCACCUCCGGACAUUGGUUAGAAGAUAGAGCAGAAAGAAAAUGAAGGUUGGUUCGAAGGUAGUGUUUCUGCUGAGAGACUCAGAGGGCUUCGGCGAAGCCAUCUCAGCUGCUUUCCGCCCAAAUCCAAGCAAUUCUACUGUGUAAGAUCUCUUCCUAAUAACCCUUUUAAGGUUCGCCAAAAAAAAAAAAAUAACCCUUUUAAGUUUGAGAUCAAAUUCAUAUUAUAUCGAUUGAUUUCGGUGCGCCAAUUUGUUGCAGAGAAGAAAGUUUCGAGCUUUCAUUGGAGCGCUAUGGAAUCCAAAAUUGCAAAGCUUCUGGAACCCUUCGCCACUUCCUCGAUCCCCAGGGCCAAUAUGAGGUUCCCCUUCUCUCUCUUCCUCUCUCUCUCUCAUGGAAUUGUUUAGGACCCAGAAGCGGGAUUGUAUUCGUAUAGAUUCUGUCUCGUAUAGAUUAGAUUCUAUGUGGGAUUUGGGUGUUGAGAAAUGGGUCGUGUAUUUUGUAAUGAAAUGUGUACUAGUUUUUAUGGUGAAAGUGAAAUUUGUGACAAUUUGGGGUUUAGAUUGUGUGUGAUUGAAAUUGAAAACGAUGCUGGUUUUUCAAAACCAUGUGGGGUUUAAAAUCGACUCGGUGUUAUGGAAUUGUGAGUGAUCUGUGAGGUCUAAAGGGACCUGGUUGCAGGCGUUUUUCGAAGAAUGCUUGUAGAUUUGGUUUCUAUGCCCAUAGUGGUAGAAACCCAUUAAAUUACUUUGUAAAAGUUUUGUUCCUUUGUGUUUCAGAACUCAUGCUGUGACGAUAACAGUGGAAGGUUCCACAUUAUUUUUUUAUGCAGUUUUCUGUUUUUCAUAAAGUUUAUCCAUCUACACUGCUCUGAAAUGCUUUAGUUGUUAGGAUGUGAGCCAACAGCUUUGAUUUGUGUUGAGUUUGUCGGUUUAUUACUAUUUCCAACAGCUUGAGUUACUAGGACAGAGUGAAUAACUAUUUUAUUUAUCUUCUAACAUAUCUUGAAGAUAACAGAUUAGGGGAACUUUAAAAAAAUUUCUCUUCAAUUUUGUCUUUUUCAGGUGUCUGUGCUGCUUAUGGAAUACCAUGAACCGCCAAUACUAGCCUGCGCUAUUAGUGAAGUUCUAGCACAAUUAGCAGGGCAGAAUUCAUCCUCAGUUCCCACAGUCGUUGCCCCGUUUUUCCUAGAGUCAUCCAAGCUAAAGGGGGAAAGUAAAUCUGCAACAAAAUUUGAAAGCAAAUGUUCACUUUAUGGUAUAGAGAUUGGUUCAGAAACAGCCAUAAGCAAGGCUAUGGCAACCAAAACCCAGAAGCCACAGCCAUCCUUGCAGAUUCAUCAUGAACCUUUGGCUUGCUUUCUUCAGUUGGUCCGUGUUUUGAAGUUGCCAGUAUAUGUUCUUAUUGGGCAAAGAGGUCAACACGUUUAUGAUAAAGAAGAGUUUCAGGUAUACAGUCUUUUUUAUUACUUUAUCUAAUGCAACUGUCAACAUUCAGUUUACCUAGAAUUUUUGUGACAUAUGAUUGAAUUCGAGUUGGGUUUGGAGGCCAUGUGAUUUGUAUUUCUACGAUUUGCUUGAGAGAUGAGUGGGAAAAAUAGUGUAUGCUCAGUUUCUCCAUGUUCCACUGCUGAAAAUAAGUCGUUUAGCCUUGUUUCUUUCUCUUCCUUAUAGUUCUCUAUGAAUCUGUCUGUUUCCCGAGUGUUCGUAUAUUGUCUAACUCUAGGUGGAUUCUUUUUCAGAUACUUUAUGAGAUUGGAGAACUUUUAGCAAGCACUUUGAACCUUUCCUUUUCAAGAGACAAGAUCACAUGGAAUCCAACAAGAAAAUCAAAAGACGAUCGGGAGCCAUGGCGUGCGUUAUAUGGUUAAACCUCUACUGUCUGACAUUAGAGGUUGGGACAAGAUCUAUCGUCGGGUGCAUCAGGUUGAAAAAAACUUUCAGUUCUUACUGUGAUUGAUAGAUCUAUGUUCAACAUCAUAGUGCUUAGACGUAAAACUACUUAAUCUGGAUUCUCAGUUUGUGAACUGGCCAUGAAGAUAAUGAAAUAGCUUUUGCUACAGUUUAAAUUUACUUAUGGCUUUUCGUUUCCUUUCUUUAUUGGUUUCAUUAGUGAACUGGUCUAUUGUCUUAAAGAUGAUGGGAUAAUCUGAAUGAUUAGUUCAUGUGCGCAUCCUGUUGGGUGCCUUGUGUGCUUCUUAUUCGAACUUGUAAUGUAGUAACUACAAUCAAAUCAUUCAUCAUACAAUAAAAACGAAUCAGUCAAUACACAAAAACAAGAUGUCAUUUACUAAUACGUCUAGUGGUGUUUCUCUUCAUUUGUAAGUGAGAGGUUCCAAAUAUACCACAAAUUUAUUCCUUAAUAUAUAAUCCAUCGAAUCAGUUACACCUCUAAUUUUAGGAUCCCACAUAAACAGAUACAAUAAGAAAUAUAAAAUAAUGAAAUACCUUACAACCAGCGUUCCACAUUCCUAUUGAAUAUUCCUCUUCCGUACGUAGAAGCGGUAAUUCUAACUAGAAGGGGGAAUUGCAUCCAAACAAAUAAAGUGACUGGAACACUUGAAAGAAGUAUGGUCGGAAUCACAAUCCAGGAGUGUCCACGAACUAUAAUUAGAAAGGCAGCGGAAAACGCAAUCAUCAUGGUUGCAAUAGCCAAAAAGAGAGUGGCAAGACCAAUUAUGAUUUUUGUUGGUAAGGAUUUCAGGAAAUCAUCUUCUGCAAAACGUGACGUGAGAAUUCCGAGAAACGUCAACGUUGCAGUCGUGGAAGAAAAUAGUGAUAUAGCAUCUGACAUUAUAAAUAACAUAAACAAUUUUUCAUCGAUGAAUGCGGGAAAGCCGGUAUCUCCAUUUCCUCCAGGAAUUGUGAUUACUGCAGCAAACAUGAUGGUAAAUAUAAGAGCACCUACAAUAAUGUAAGAAGUUGCCGUCUCUUUCAUCCAUUUUUCUCCCUCCUUUAGCAAUCUACUGUGAGUCUUUGUAAAUAGUUCCCUUGGUGUCAAAUGUUUACCUUUGUUCCUAUACUCACGAAAGUUGGGAGGUACAAUAGUCUCUACUUCCUGCAUUGCAUUGAACAACAAGAACUGACAUAUGAGAGCAUAAUAUAUAAUUUUCUAUAAUCUUUAUUAUAUUAGGAUUAACCACCUACUUUUUACAUUCUAAGAUUUGUAACUUGUGUUAGGUUGUGUUACUUUUAACAUUUGUACUGACAUAUGAGAGCACCUACAAUUGGUCAUGAUGUUCAAUAGGUUGUGUUAAUUUUACAAUUUGGGUUAGGUUGAACAUCUGCUUUCAAUAGAUCCAAAAAGUAAAUAACUAACUCUUUCAAAAUGCAGAAUCUUUAAUGCAAGAAACUUUUUAGGAAAACAAACUAAGAUUGACACCUAGUAAGCAGACAAGGGGACUUAUAAUUCAGUUAGUUAAGAGCAUUUUUCCGAAGUGUCGAGUCCAAUUCUUCCCUUCCUCCCCCAGUACCUAAUAGUUGAUGCUAGAUUUGGAUGAUUAUUACAAAAAGGGAAAACAAAUCCAGAACCUCUCGAACACUUAAUUUGAUUCUUUCAGUUUAUAUAGGCAGAGUAAUCAAGAAUUAUGUCGAGUGAGAAAUCCUAACCUUGUACCAUUGUAGUUCACGCUGCAUUUGCAAUGCUGCCCCUGGAAUACGAUUAAGUUGUGCUUGUGCAGAUGGGGACAACAACCCAGCCAUGUGUAGCUUGUUAUUAUUAUUCUUGUCACCACCAUGUAUCACCUCUUUCGAAGAGAUCCCAUAUAUAAGGUUAUAAAUCUUUUCUUGACGACAUUGGAUCGCAACGUCAAAUAUGCCUCUUGACUCGUCAUCUCUUGACCACAGAAGUACAGGAUUUGCUUUACAUAUAUGAGUAAUAAACUCCACAUUCCCCUUCCUAACAGCCUGGAAGAUUGCCGAUCUCAAAGUGCCAUAACUUACUUGUUUCAUAUCCAAAUCUUUCUUUAUCUCUUCGCACAUGAACUUUAAAAAUUCAAGUGAGUGGACAUGGACAAACUUCAUUUCAUAUAUGCGGUUGAUUCCUGAGUUCAACAUUUAAAACCCAAAUAUUUAGGACUUAAACUGCUUUAGAUAAUUGAUUUGAAUUCCAAUUUACAACAAAUGAAAUUGUUACUAGCAUACCAGGUAUCUCAACGAUUUUCGAAACAAGCCUUUCCCUUAGUUUUUCUGAAUGAGAAGCAAGCUGUUCCAUUAAACCUCCCGCUGCGAUGGAAAAAAAGUUGGUCAAACCUAUGGAGCAUGUUGUUAGAUGUACAACCGACCAAAUGGAACUUGCAUAAUGGAAAUCCAAUGUUUGUAGACCAAGAAGGGUUUCAUAACCCUAGAGCUGCCAUUUUGACCGACUGUUGACUUUUUAACCAACAUGCCUCAAGCUCUAUCCUAAGAUACCACUAAAUUUGACAGUAGUUGGACCUCACACAUUUAAGACAAUCUCCAAAAGAGAUGUCAAAUAUGCCAAAUAAGAUUAAAAGAUAUUCAAGUGUUCUCUAAUGGAUAUGCCAUAUAUGAUGUGGUAUGUGAGUUAUUUGACUUCUUACUUUUUAGCUGCAUUUUUUGACACAAACAAAGAAGGAGUCAAAUAUAUUUAAUUUAAUUUGUUAAUGCAUGAGUCCCAUUAACAACCAUAUAAUAAAAUAAAUAUUUGACACAUUUAUUGGAAAAGAAAAUGAUUUAACACUUAUAUUCAAUUUGCCACAUCAACCAUCCAAUAAAAUUUUGACAUACUAUAUUUAACAUCUAUUUUGAAGAUACUCUGAGUUCUCAUUUCUUGAUAGUACAUUGUCUCGACCUCGGGAACUAUGAGAAGUGCGACGUGUAUACAUUGGCUUGGUAACUUAUUUGACAGAACAUAAUCACAGAACACUGUUGUCUCUAUAAAGAGGAUUUGUUGAAUAUUAUAAAAUGUGUGAAAAAAUGGCUUUUGAGCCUUUACAAAGCAACUAAACAUGGCCCUAGUGUUUAGUAUAUUUAAAUAAUAUGUAAAUUUAAAACUAUAUUAAUAAAAUUCUUUUUGUCAACUAAAAACGGAUAAAAAGACUAUAUUAAUAAAAUUCUCUUUGUCAAACUAAAGGCUGGUUUGGUAUUGCUGUACUUUGAAAAAAAGCUGUUUCUGCUGUACUGUGUGAAUAAGCGGCUGUGAAAUAAAACUGUAGAGUGUUUGGUAAACUUUUUUGUAAAAAUGCUUUUGAAAAAGAAAAAAAAACAGUAUUAUAGUGUUUGGUAAACUUUUAUGUAAAAUAGAUGUGAAAAAAAUUCUCUUUGUCAACUAAAAGCGGAUAAAAAGACUAUAUUAAUAAAAUUCCCUUUGUCAAACAAAGGGCUGGUUUGAUAUUGAUGUACUUUGAAAAAAAACUGUUUCUGCUGUGCUGUAAGAAUAAGCGACUGUGAAAUAAAGCUGUAGAGUGUUUGGUAAACUUUUUUGUAAAAAUGCUUUUGAAAAAAAAAAACAGUAUUAUAGUGUUUGGUAAACUUUUAGGUAAAACAGAUGUGAAAAAAAACUGGUUUUUCAAAGCUGGGUUUUGUAGCUUCUUGUUUUUGGCUUUUUUUCACCCAAAACUGUGAAAAAAAACUGAAGCUGAAUGUUUACCAUACACAAAAAAGCUCCCAACUUUUUUCAGAAUCACUUCAGGACCAAAUCCGCCUAAAAACCUACCACUCCUCUCACAUUCUCUCUCUCCUUGUCUCUUCUUACCAUUUUUCUAAAGAAAAAAUGUGUUCAUACAUAUAAAAUAGGUAGGCAAAUGCUACUUUUGUAUAAAAAUAUAGUACCUGUUGUGUAAAAUACAAUUUUAAAAAAAAUUAUGAAAAGAAAGAAGUUAUUAAUCCUCUCUCUCCUCUCUCCCCCUGGAGAAAUCUCUCCUCCCUCCUGCAUCCUCGCUUCCUCUUCUCUUUCAACGGCGUUGCGGUCCACCGGUCACCAACGACUGUCAAAUUAUACCUCCAGAAUCCUCUUCCCGUCCUCUUUCCAAACCCCAGGUUAGUUUCUGCAAAUUCGUAACCGAAUUUCCUCAAUUUCAGAUCUAAGAAACGUAAGGAUUUUGAUCGGCUUUUGUGUGUUUUGUAGGCAUGGGAGCGGCGGGACGGUGAAGAGCGGGGUUGGAGUGACGUCGAUGUGUGUGAUGAGGCCGAAGCUGACGGUGAAGUCGAGCCAGUGGUUAUAGCGCGAGUUUUGGGUAUUUUCGCGUUUUCAAUCUCGAUUUUACACUGCUUCAAUUUGAUUUAGGAUUUUUUGUUGUUGUUGUUGUUUUUCUAUUUUAAUCUGUCACUGGUUGUAUAGAUUGCAAUACAACAUCAAUUGGGUUGUUGAAAAGUCAAGUUUUCUUGGUGUAAUUAUUGUUCUAACUAGAUGCCAAGAGUGUGAACAUCGAUUUGAUGCUUGUAUAUAUAUAUAUAUAUGUGUGUGUGCAGGUGGAGCGAAGUUGAAAGCUGACGAAGAUGUUCCACAGAGACGUAAGUUCUUUAUCUAUUUUCAAUAUAUUGUUCUUAGCUCAUCGCGUUUUCUUUAGACUAUGUUCUGUAAAAGCUUUAUUUUUCAAUUCAUAAAAAGCUGUGGGACUCUUAAAAGUUAUAGGCAAGAAGGGAAUGUGGUAAAGUGAGCUUCAUUGCAUGAAAAACUGGGGUCCAACGCCUGCGAGUAAUGCAUUGAGUUUUCUUGGUAGUAAUGCAUUUUUUUUGUUUUUAAUGUUUGAAAGUUUUGGUCUUGAACAUCACUGGCAUAUGUGGUAGUUGAUAUCAUAUUUUUUCAACUGUUUCUUAAUUUAAGUUUUUUUUUUUUUUAAUGGGUUAAACAGCUAACAAUGAGAAUUGAAUUUUUAAGUAGAGUACUUAUUUAUAGGAAGCAGGGUCUUAGAGAAAAUUGUAGUUAAUUCAAAUUCAUUAAUGUUAUUUUCCUUUUUUUUUUUCACAGGUUCGUGAAGCUUAUGAUCGUCUCUUCUCAGGUAUUGAUAUAACUUCAGGCAUCGGAGGCCCUUUGGUGGAUACAUUCCCUCAUUUUUUGGGUGUUUGUCAAUUAGAUUUACGAUGUUUCUUGAUUUGUAUGUGGAGUUUCGUCAUUUCAACUGUACGAAAUUUGCAUCCAUAGUGGCAAUGAUGAUGGUAACAUGAGUGAGGGUGUGGUUAACAAUGAUGGUGGUGGAAAUGGUGGUUAUGAGGGAGUAGGAUUGAUGAUGGCGGAGAUGGUGGAGGAGGUUGUGACGGUGGCGGCCCGGUGAUGGGGUGGUGAUGGGAUAGGUGUAGGAUCUGGUGCCAAUGAUGCUUGGUAGUGGAGAUAUGGCGGUAUGGAUGCUAUUUGCGAAGACCAUUGUAAGGUGGUAGCGGGGGAGGACAAGAUUUUUCUUUCUUAAAAUUCUAACCUUGUUUUAUACUUAGUUUGUGGUUUUUAUUUUGUUAUUAAACUUCACAGGAAAAAUAACUUUAAUGUUUUACAUAAUUUAGGCUAAUAUUGUAUUUUAUGUUAUUCGUUUUAUGGGUCUAUUCUUAAAAAUAACAUGUCUAACGCAUUUUAUAUUUCUCAUUACCAAACCUACACUUAUCCUCCCAAUAAUCUCCACAAAUGAAGAAAACUCUCCUAAUAAUCUCUCCAAAUUUAGCAAGGUAGGGAGGGAUUGGUCAUAGUAAUUAAGUGUUGAAUGUGUCAUCUAUGUGAGUUAUAAUUGAGACCUUCUACGUACAAGUAAGGAGAAAUAUCAUGUACUCCCUUUGUUAAAGUUGAGCGGGAAUUCGAAGUGGAUAACCCAAAUUAGAUCGUACCUUUUAUGCAACACUUCCUAACUGGUUAAUGAUGGGAGAGGAAGGGGAUAGCAAACCUGAGCAAAUUGAACUCCUUCCGUCAUCUUGAACAGUUACAGAAAUAUGAUUAAUGCAAGGAGGAGGUUUUAUGUCUAUGCCUAUCAAGACAAGAAAAUAUGUCAUAAAAGUGAAGGGCAAAUAAUUAAUAGAAAGAGAAGUAUGUUGUACACUAACUGUCAUAAAUCCAUUGUUGCCAGAAAUUGAGCUCUACUCCGCGCCGGAAUGAAGAAGCCUGCUGCAAUGCCAAAAUUUCUAAAGGGGUCUUGUCUCCGCUGCCCCGAGUAAAGGCCAAUUUUGGGCAAUGGUUCAUUAAACGCCAUGAGAUAUCUGUUUAUUUUAAACGUUUAAGAAUUUUUCAGAAAUAAUUAGUUUGCUAUAGUAAUUUGUAGCUAUGGGUAAAAAGAGUAAACUGUAGCUAGAAUAAGCUAUUUAUUUUUUAAGUCACAUGAUCAUUUCGUUUUCAGUUUUUGUAAUCAUGAUUUUAAUUUGAAAACCAAAAACUUGUUUGAUAAAUACUUUUAACUUUCAGAUUUCAUAAAAAUAAAAAUAAAAACUGAAAGCUAUUUUUUUAAGUUUUCAAACAUUUAAUUUCAGUUUUUAUUUUUAUUUUUUUUUAGAAAAUUGAAAGUAGUUUACCAAACAAUUGAAAUGAUUAUCAACCGAACCCUUAAUUUUCAUUUUUGUAGUCCUCAAUAGCAUGUUAUUACUCAUAUUUAAAAACUUUUUACCAAAUUCUUUGGAUGCAAAACAAUUGCAGAUUAUUAUAGCGCCAUGAGGUCCUUUGUCUGGCAUUAAAUCUUCAAGUGGAGUCUUGGAGUAGAGAAAUUGAGCCAUAUGCCAAUGACCAUACAAAUAAGCUAGCUCAAUUGGAAGCAUGUCGUGUCCAUCGGGAAUGCUGAGUAAUUCUUUGUUCUUUGGUACCAUGCAUUCAGCCAUUUUGGUAAUCCCUUUAAUUGCAGCAGUAGCAAGAGCUGUCCGAUGAUCUGUUGUUGCUUUUAUUCCCAAGUCGUCCACUUCCAUCAACCUCACCAAUUCUUUGACAAUAUCCACAUGCCCAGCCUCAACUGCAAUGUGAAGAGCUGUCUUCCCAGACGCUGGAUGUGUUACUCUUACUGCCUCCGGAUGUUUGAUGGGAAAGUCCUUUGUAGUUUCCCAACGACCAGCUUGCACAGCCUCAAAGAAAGGUUUACACUGACUAUAUCCAAAUCCUGUCAAAUUAACCUUGUUUUGUUAUUGUUAAUUUCCCCAUAAUUCUUUAGUUUGAUGCAUGAACUAUUUUGUACUUUAACUUCAAUCAUAGAAACGAUGGAAGAUAAUGUUAUGGGUUCCUUGUUAUUUAACUUUUUAAUGAAGUUAUAUGAAAUUAUAUGACAACUAGAAAAAUUAUAUGGGAUCAUUGUGAUUAACACUCCAAAGUGUUAGGAAAAUAGAGCAUGAAAUUUAAUCACAAGGAAAACCAAGAAAUCAUUCAUACCAUUAAUUAAAUACACAGUUUAAAUAUGUUCAAACAAGGCUUUUUAGCCAAAAUGGUCUAUGAGAUUUGAAAUCAAUGGAAGCGGAUCUCGGAGAUUGUCCAUCAUCAAUCAUUUUUGUUAUUCGGUGAAAAAUUAUGUUUAAUAAGGAUCAAAAUAACAAAAAAAUACCCUCAGUUUAAUAAAUAAUAGGCCAAAAUGAUUUGACAAAAUUUGAGGAUAUUUUUGUCAUUUUAUUCUUAUUUUAUGGAGAUUUUUCACGCAAUGACCAAAAUGAUUGUUUGUGGAUAAAUUCAAGGACCAACUCUAUCGAUUUCAAAUCUUAAAGACCAAAGUGAGGAGUUAUGCAAAUCUCCAGCAUCAUUUUGGCUAAAAAUCCUUCAAUCAAUUAAAAAAAAAAAUGCUAAAUGUGCAUGAAUAUGAAUAUGAAUAUGGUUACAAAUAUAUGAAAAUUAUGGUAAAAUUAGACAUACAAUGCUCAUGAUUGAUUACGUGUGUGAUUGUGCUAGGGAAAAGUGAUCCCAAUAUGAUUGCAGGAAGGAGAGUCAUUUACAGUAAAUCUCUAUAAAGUAAUAAUGUUAUGACAAAACCAAUUUUAUAAGUAUAGGAAGAUUAUUCCUUAAUAAAGGUGUAUUAAAAAAAAGACUUGGAUAUUCUUAAUUAAAGUUAUAUGGAUACAAAAAACGACAUUAGUAGUAGAGCAUACCAAUUUUGAGAUGUGACAUUGAAAGAAGAGUCACCUAAUCUCUAAAAGCUAGUACAUAUAUGUAACAAUAAAUUAUUGCCUUAUUAUUUGACCCCGCCCCCCACCACCCCACCCCCCCUGUAACAAUAAAUUAUUGCCUUAUUAAUUGACCCCACCCCCCGCGAGAAAAACUUGUAUGGAGCUUGGCUUGCCACUGGACUUUGCUGAGUGGCACUACAAUCCACUUAAAACUCGCCACGUGACAAGUCUUAAAUAUAAUCUUUUAUCAUUAUUUUAUAUUUAAAAUUUUUAAAAUUAUUUUUUUAAAUAAUUAAUAUAUUAUAUAUAUUAAUGUUAUGUUUCCUUUUUUAUUUCUUUCCCCCUAUUUUUUUCUUCCCAAAUCCCCCCACACUUGUUAUUUACCCGUAGGUCUUAGGACUCCCUCCCCUUUCUUUCCUUUCCAGUUUCGUUUCUUUCUUUCUUUUAAAAAAAAAAAAGUUAUGCAGCCACUCCAAUUUUAUCAUGGAAAGCAAUCAAUAAUCUGUAAGUUUCUUUUCUUUCUUUAUACAAUAAAACUCUGAUAAAAAACAUUAGCUGUUAAAAAACUUUUAUCAUAUUAUAAAUAUAAAAAACCAAAACCCUCACCCGAACCCAAAAACCCCCCAAUUAAAAGAAAAAAAAAUAACCCUAAUACAGCUAUAUAUGUGGGUUAUUCAUGUCACAUGAUCAAAGCAACUAUUGUAUAAAGAAAGAAAAAAACUUACAAAUUCUUGGUUGCUUUCCAUGAUAAAAUUGGAGUGGGGUCAUAACUUUUUUUUUUUUUUAAAGAAAGAAAGCCAUCAAUCUUCAUCUACCAUUAAGAACUAUUCCAUCAACCGCCAUAGCAAAACAACUAAAUCGGCAGACCUCAACUGUGCUAUGUAAAAAUCAAAAUGGUAUUAGGAGCUUUAUUCAUCAAUUUAGAAUUAAACAAACUCAUUUAAAUGAAAUUUUGAAUUAGUUUGAACAAUUAGGGUGCGUUUGGUACGUGGGAUGGGACGGAACCGUUCCGUCCCACGUUUGGUGCCUUAAAAUUGUGUGGAACACGCGUCCCACGGAACGAAAAAGGGUCAGAUUUUGGUUCCCCCUCCCCCCCUGGAACAGGUUUUUCCAUCCCGUGGGACACAAUUUUUUUUUUUUUGGACAACAAUACCCCUUUUAUUUUUCAUUAAUUACAUUGUCUACCUCCCUUCUCUCCCGUAACCUCCCUCUGUUCUACCACAAAUCCAGUAACCCAAUCCCUUCUUUCCCGUAACCUCCCUCUUCAUCCACCACAAACCCAGUAACCCAAUCCCAGCAAACCCAUCCGACGACGACGACGUCACCACCGUCACCAGCAAACCCCUCUUCUUCUCCGGCGUCGUCACCACCGUCACCAGCAAACCCUCUUCUUCUCCGGCGCCGUCACCAUGGAGCCGUCACCAGCAACCCCUCUUCUUCUCCGGCGCCGUCACCAUAGCCAGGCCGACGACGACGACGACGAUGCACGGAGGAUGAUGACGACGCUGCAGGGAAGACGCUGCAGGCCGACGACGACGACGACGCUGCACGGAGGAUGAUGACGACGCUGCAGGGAAGACGAUGACGACGCUGCAGGGAAGACGAUGACGACGCUGCAGGGAGGACGAUGACGAAGCUGCAGAAAUUGAUUGAAAUGAAUUUUGGGAUUUUUCUGUGUUUGAUUUUGGGAUUUUUCUGUUUUUUUUCUUCUUGUAAUUGUUUGCUGGUGACGAGAUCUGAAAUUGAUUGGAGGGUUUGCUGGUGACGAGAUCUGAAACUGGAUUGGUUGCCGAGAAAACGAAGGAAAACGAAAACUGGGGUCUGAUUGUUUGAGUUCAUACUCGCACUCAGCAAUUGUACAAACAAGGCUAAGUUAGUCAUUUAACACGAAAUCCAAACCGUUCCGUCCUACGCGUACCAAACAUAACACGAACCUCCGUUUCGUUCCGUCCCGUUCCGUCCCGUCCCGUCCCGUCCCAUCCCGUUCCGUUCCGUCUGCGUACCAAACGCACCCUUAGGUACUGACUGACUAAUCCAAGGAUAACCACAUCUCCUAAGACCUAUGGCAAAACAAAGUGUGGGGAGGAUUUGGGAAGAAAAAAAAUAGGGGGAAAGAAAUAAAAAAGGAAACAUAACAUUAAUAUAUAUAAUAUAUUAAUUAGUUAAAAAAAUAAUUAUAAAAAUUUUAAAUAUAAAAGAAGGAUAAAAUAUUAUAUUUAAGAUUUGCCAUGUGGCGAGUUUUAAGUGGAUUGUAGUGCCACCCAGCGAAGUCCAGUGGCAAGCCAAGCCCCAUACAAGUUUUUCUCCCCCCCCCGCGGGCGGCGCCCGCGAAACUACCAUUUAAUCUUACUUUAACCCUUGAAACUGAUUUUAUCUCGAUUUGUCUCUGAAACUGUCAUUUUUGUCUCAUUUAGUCUUAAUUCACUCUAUUUUCAUACAUAUAAAAAAAGGUGUAGUUGCAGCCGUUGGAUUCAUUGAGUGGAUUGAAUUAGUUUUGAAACACAACCCAUUAUUUGCUUUUGUCAACCGUUGUAGCUAUAGCUCCACACCAAUCCGUAAGAGAGACAGACAAAGGGUUUAAAUUAGAGUUAUCAAAAAAUGGAAUUGAGAUUGUUUUAGCAGGCAAGUUGGAGGCAAAGAGUUGUGUAAAAAAUAAAAUGUCCAUACUACCCUAUAGUUUAACAUCUAUUUUACGGAAUGAACGAAAAUAGGAGUGAACUGAGACUAAAUGAGACAAAAUUAGAACCAAAAUCGCCAAAUUAAUUCAUGGAGUUAGAUUUGUACAUUGUAUCAAAUUAAGUCAAGGAUUUAUAUUUCUACAUGGAAUUAAAAUCGCGCACAUCUGCAGACGAAUGUGGAGAUGAGUGUGGCCCUUGCACCAUGACGUGAGUUCGAACCUAGUCGACUUUAUAAUCUAACAUCUAAUUUAACAAAUAUAUCGUUUGACAAAAAAAAUUAAAUGUGUUGGAAUAGAUAUUUCUGUUGAUAUUGUUUUUGUUUGAAUUAAGUUAUAUGUAUCAUGUGAAGAUUAAUUGAAUUGUACAUCAGUGGGAAGAUUCCGUACAAAAAACAGAUUUGUGGGAUAAGGACUCCUUGAAUCUCUUAUCUGCGCAAAAGAUGGACAUGUUAUGUAGUAUUUUAAUCAUUAAUUUUUUAUUAUUAAUACAUGUAUUUUGGUUUGAUAUGACAUUCUUUAAAGUAUUAUUUUAAUUUUUAAGCAAAUUUUUAACAUUUUUGUUGAAGGCAACCGAUAUCAAUAUUUUAAUAAAUUUUUAUACGAUAUUUCCACUUAUAUUGAUAUUUUAAAUACUAGAUGACACACAAAUGUGGCAUGAAAACAUAGUAUCUUAGCAUUUUCUUAAGAAAAAAGUAUAGACGAUUAUUUAAUUUGAUAAUGAAAUAGGAAAGGACUUUUUUUUUCGCUGUUCUUUUGGCAAGGAGACGCAGACACACCUUGUUCCAUUUGUUCCUCGGUCUCCGAAACACCUUGUUCCGUUUGUUCCAUGGUCUCCGAAACACCUUGUGCCAUAUUCGACCUGUGAUUCGGUGGAGCAUAUUAUAUAUAGUAUCUAAACAAACAAAAACUUAGCAAUGAAAUUAAUGUAGUCUAAUUACUACUUACGGAUUGGAAGGAAUGGAAGCCAACAAACUGCAGGUAGCUAGUUAUUAAAGUCUAGUAAGUAUGCAAAUAAUAAAAAAACAAAGGAAAACUAAUGAAAAGGGCUUGAAAACUUUGAGUUUUAAUGAUAAGGACAAAAUAAAGGGUAAAGUGAAUAGUACCAGGAUUGACUUUUUAGUGUAAAAAUGUGGUUUUUCGUUAAAGUGAACAGUACCGGGAGAUUUUCGUUAAAGUUUCCAUAAAACAAAGGCUUGCAUUGGCAAACUAAUAAGAAGAAAAUGGGGGAAAGUGGGAAGCUACUUAGAAAUGAAGACGUGCAUGGGCUGCUUUUCCUAGAAUAAUAUUAGAGCAAUUCUGCCCUUAAAACAAUGCGCCAGUACCCAGCCUAUUUAAUCCACUCAGCGAAUAAUGAUAGAUUCCAAUGAACAUUAAUAGGUCAAAUGCACCUCCACCCCUAACAAAAAAAAAGCCUACCCCAUUUUAUUAAAAUAUGAUUAAAUAAAAUGCAUCUCCAAUUGGACCUUUAAAAUAAUGAUAUUUUUCCUCUCAUUUGACCGGUUCUUUCUCUUUUCUUUCUUUCUCUCUCUCUCUCCUCUCUCUCUCUCUCUCUUUCCCUCUCUCUCUAUCUAUUUUCUCUCUGUCUCUCUGGAAAGUCUCUCUUUUCCAGCUCACUCCCAUGAGCUCUCCUUCUCCUUCCUCUUCAAAACCUUCAACAAAUCAAACACAAAAUAUUAUUUUUGUAAUCCCUGGAGCUCAAGGAACCCAACCAUGGCCUUGCAUGCGACAUAAGUGCAUGGUGCAAGGUUCUACCAUUGAAGUCGAGAGCUUGAGCUCUCAAUCUCUAACCCAGGUGAUGUUUCUAUCACUAUAUUGUGUUCUUGAGCUUUAAAUCCUGUUAUGUUGCAAGUUUUGUGGUUAAUUUGAGGGCUUAAUUCCCUGCAUGUGAUUCCGACAAAGGAAAACGGACAAACUCCGACGAGUUCAAGGUCCAAUUCUCGGUGAAAUCUCUUGCAUUUCACCUGGGUAAGUUCUCAAUCCUAUUCUUAUCGUUUCUAACUUAUAAAUCAUGUUGAAACCUUUGCGUUGAUGCAAACAUGAUGGCGGUGCAUUUUUUUUCAGAUUUUUCGACGAACUCGGGCCAUCACUUUCAGGCAAUUUGCCUUCUCCCUCCAUGGCUCCUUCCCUCCCAACACCCUCUCCUACCUCGACCAGCUCCGCUCCUCAGCCUCCACAACAACUCCCUUUCUGGCGCAAAAAAAAGUGACUGACGUUAGCCUGCGUCAUGUAGGCCGUCCCAUGGGUCUGUUAAUUCUGGGCCGGUCUCUUGUUUGGCUUAGGCUGGGUGCUAGCCUAUCCGCAGGGCUGGACUGCAAAGCCUGCAAAGCCUGGGUGCCGGGCCAUUUUUUGGAUAGGUGUUAGCCUAUCAGUUCCCUGGUGGAACUGCUCUUAAGGAUCAGCUGGACACGCAACCUCUGCUGGAAUAUUGGUAUCAUAUUCCUAACAUAAAUGCAAAGUUGGGCAAAGCCUUGUUAUUAACUGAAGAGGAUUUAAUAAGCAAACCUACCUAAACGGGUUAGGUCAACGGUCAACGGGUCAAGUCAACCAGGUCUCCGGAAACCCCACCGAAAACUAGGUUUUUUGCUGGAAAUUUGGGCAAUUUUCAAAGCCUCGUAACUUCUCCGUUUCUUAACCAAAUUCAACCUAUAAUAUAUCAAAACGAAGUUAGGAAAGUGUAGAACAAGAUUAUUCCUAUUUGGAAGCCCAAUGGUUGCCACAAAUGGCUGAAAAAAUGGUUUGAAAGGUGACUGGUCCACGAGAAAGCUGGGGAAACUCACUAGAAAUUGGGUAAAAUUUAAACGUUUAGAACUUAUUCAAUACUCAACGAAAUCCAAUGAUUCAAAAAUAAAAAUCAUACUUCUCGAUGAGACAAAGAGAAUGGUACCUUUUGCAACGCCUAACUCACAGUGAUUUGCCCAGAAAAUGGCCUAGAAGGUCGAGGCUUGACUUGGGUUUCGAUCCCGACGACUCGGAAGGAAGUUUGAGGUGAGUUUGGGUGUUCUAGGCUCGUGAGAAUGAGGAAGCUCGUGGUGCACUUGGUUUGGGUGGUGGUGGGAGUGUUGUUGUUGUUGUUUAUUUAUAGAGAAAGAAAGAUGAGAGAGGUGAGAGAAAUGAGAGAAGGGAGAGUUUGGAGAGAGAGAGAGAAAGAAAGAGAAAGAGAGAGAGAGAGUUUACAUAAAAAGAAAAGGGGAGAGGGAUGUCAAGGUGAAGGAAGAAGAAGCAUGGGAAUAAGGUGGGUCCUAGUGGUUUACAAAAUAUGACCACAAAAGACGAAUUGUGAAAAUAUUGAAAUAUACUUGACGUUACGAAGAGGUCGCACUUGGUGCGAUGGCAAGUGCCUUCGCCCAUGAGCGGUAGGUCUCGGGUUCGAGACUUGGGAGCAGCCUCUCCAUAAAUGGGGGUAAGGCUAGCCGACAUUCACCUCUCCCAGACCCUGCGUAAGCGGGAGCCUUGUGCACUGGGUACGACCUUUAUACUUGACGUUACGAAAAUUAGGACGAAAGUAACAGAAUAGUGUUUGGUUGUUGAGCUACAGUCGGUUGAUUUGGCAUGGGAUCUGGUUGACCUGGUCCUGUCCUUAUUUCUCUGGUAGGAUAUAAAUAUUGAAAUACACUUGAUGUUACGAAAAUUAGGAUGAGAUAUUACACUCUAGUAUUUUUACUUAUGUCAUAUAUUCUUAGUUGAAAGUUGACCCAUAGAGUUAGUCUUUUUUUAUGUAACAACUUAUUUAACCUAAGAUCAGUAAAGGAUUUAGUACAAAACUUGUCAUCCACAAGAGUCAACUGAAGAUGAAUACCACUAGAUUGUAUCUCCCAUCUAAAACUUAAAGGUUAAAAAUUAUGAAGUCAUAUUUGACUCUAAAUGUGGUGGUGCAAGUUAUUUUAUAUACAAUGCAUAUGAAAUCAAAUUUGACUUUUAACUUUUUAACUCUAGUAAAUUGGAAGGAGCCUAGUCAAAUUUAGAGACAAAUAUAAUUUUUGUAUCUUAUGUGGUGAGGAUCCCACAUUUAGAGCUAUAUCAAAUGUCAACUAUGACUUUGCACUUAAUUAUAUAUGAAUAUAACCUUGCAACUACAUCACAAUUGCGGUGAAGGGAACAACGAGGAUGCCUUUGCUAGCCUGCCAGGUUGCGCGAAUGAAUCCGUUUAGUGCAUAUCUGAGACGAUCUUCUCAGAUAUCAACGAUCCGAAUGGGAGAUGAUGAGCAACAUUAGAGUAAUCUAGCUAGACAUAAAGGCUAUGGGUAAGCCUGACCAUGAUAUGAGUAGGUUAUUUCUUAUCUAUUGUGUUUGAACCCAAUUGAAUGCUGAAUCACUUGCAGUGCCUGCCAUUGCAUUAUAUUGCAGAACUAUUUCUACAAACAAAUGCACUUACGACUGCACAAUUGCUGAAGAAACUUAAAAGUGCUUCUAGAUAGAAGCGUUUUCUAAAAAAGCACGUGCUAAGUGCUUCUCCAAAAAACAAUCCCAAGCCUUUUUCCUAGAAACACACUGAUUUUAGUAAAAACUUGUGUAUUUUUAAUAAAAGCACUUGCCAACAAAAGUGCUUACAAAAACAGUUUCAUAUCCCCGAUUUGGCUGGAAUAUGCUCCAUUGCAAUUUCCGGACAAGAGAAUUUUCUUGUUAAACUCAACAGAAGUCGAUCAUCAUUUCGCGUGAGACCAUUUGACGGGUUGUCUGUAGCUUCCUAGUGGUGAGACUUUUCUACCAAGCAUUUAACAUACAAGUUAAUAAUACAACCUCUACUUGUUUGGAAGUAUACAAGCAAACGGCCCACCAAUCAUAAAGACUUGUGGCAAAGACUUUGACUCUUCAAGUCCACUACCACUACCACUACCCUUUGUGUAUAUUAACGGUACUGUUGAUGAUUGAGAAUCUUUAAUUUAGACCACACGAGCAUUCAAAGUCUUUGAUCCGUGAGAGAGAGAGAGAGAGAGAGAGAGAGAGAGAGAGACUUAAAUGAAAACAAAUUCAGUGUAAUUGUGGCAUAAUUAUGUGGCGUAUGAUGCUGAAAUUCAGAUUAAACAAAUAAAAUUGUUUGUAGAAAAUAACAAAGCCAUGCAUAGGGAAUGUUGAAUAAAAUUUUAUAAUUUUUAUCAUAUUAUCUUUUGCUGGCGGCUGUUUGGUUUAUGUGUUUGGAAGGAGGCAAACCAUUUUUUUUUAAAGGAAAACUAACGAAAAGUUUAAAAAAAAUUUAGUUUUAAUGAAAAAUAACAAAUAAAAGUGUAGUGAAUAGUACCAGAAAAAGGUAAAAAUGUGGUUUUUCAUUAAAAGUGAACAGUACUGGGAGUGUUUCGUUAAAAGUCCUAUUUAUUUUAUUAUUAUUUUUUAUUUUUUAAAUUUAGAGCAUCUCUAGUGGAGUUCCUAAAUAGGGACAACCACCACAUUAAAUAAGUAUAAAACAAAUACAAUGAUAAAAUGAAUCGGAAAGUGAGUCCCUAAAGUAUAGGGACUCACCGGAUAAUUGGUAUAUGUACUAACAUAUAAGGACUGUGUAACAUCCCACAUCAACCAACGGAGAGGGGGUGAUGUGCCUUAUAUGUACAUGCUCCCCUCCCUAUAGCACGAGACAUUUGGGGAACUCACUGGCUUCGGAGGACUGAAAUGAUAGACUUGUUUUUGCAAUUUGAGUGGAAAAGUUAUACAAAAGUCUCCAUUUUUCUCUCUCUUAAAGACAAUUCAAAUUUCUUCUACCACCGACCCUAGCCUUUGACUUGGGUGUCGGAGGCAUCCACCCUUCCUUCCUUUCUUCUGUUCAUCUCUUUUCUCUCUUCUAUGUUUCCUCCAGAGUUUUCUUAGGUUUUCUCUCAUUUGCUCGCUCCCUAUUUUCCUCCAUUCUCAUCUCUCCUUCACCCUCUCUGCUUCCCUAUCCUCUUCUUUCACCUUUCUUUUUCCAGUUUUCUCCAUUCCUUUUUAAUUCUCAGUUCUCUCAUGAGUUUAAUCUCAGUUUUCCUUGAGUCGAGUCUCAACUAUCUUGGGCUUCAUGCCCCUUAUUUGGCGCUUUUUGCAUAGCUUUACUGAUUUCUAUCUUUUAAUUUCCUUUCCCCUCCUCCCUAGCUGUGAUAUUGCAUCCUUAUCCCACCAUGUGCUCUGAUUGGCGGGCAUUGUUCAGAAAUUAGAUAUCAGAUCCACUUCCCUCCCUCACUUCCCCUCCCCCAAUCAGCAUGUCGGAUUCUCACCGGAUAAUUGGUAUAUGUACUAACAUAUAAGGACUGUGUAACAUCCCACAUCGACCAAUGAAGAGGGGGUGAUGUGCCUUAUAUGUACAUGCUCCCCUCCCUAUAGCACGAGGCAUUUUGGGAACUCACUGGCUUCGGAGGACUGAAAUGAUAGACUUGUUUUUGCAAUUUGAGUGGAAAAGUUAUACAAAAGUCUCCAUUUUUCUCUCUCUUAAAGACAAUUCAAAUUUCUUCUACCACCGACCCUAGCCUUUGAUUUGGGUGUUGGAGGCAUCCACCCUUCCUUCAUUUCUUCUGUUCAUCUCUUUUCUCUCUUCUAUGUUUCCUCCAGAGUUUUCUCAGGUUUUCUCUCAUUUGCUCGCUCCCUAUUUUCCUCCAUUCUCAUCUCUCCUUCACCCUCUCUGCUUCCCUCUCCUCUUCUUUCACCUUUCUUUUUCCAGUUUUCUCCAUUCCUUUUUAAUUCUCAGUUCUCUCAUGAGUUUAAUCUCAGUUUUCCUUGAGUCGAGUCUCAACUAUCUUGGGCUUCAUGCCCCUUAUUUGGCGUUUUUUGCAUAGCUUUACUGAUUUCUAUCUUUUAAUUUCCUUUCCCCUCCUCCCUAGCUGUGAUAUUGCAUCCUUAUCCCACCAUGUGCUCUGAUUGGCGGGCAUUGUUCAGAAAUUAGAUAUCAGAUCCACUUCCCUCCCUCACUUCCCCUCCCCCAAUCAGCAUGUCGGAUUCUUAUCGAGGUUAAGCGUUGGGUAUUUUACAUACCCCUCAGGCUCACCUUCUUCCCAUGUGUUACUUUGUUUGUAUAUAUUUGUAGGAGUUCGUGAAUGGGACUUGGAUCUAGUGUCUUUCUCGGUUCGGAGUUCAGCUUCCUCCGAGGAUAUGACGGCGGUGGCGAACCUUCUUCCCAUAUGUUACUUUGUUUGUAUAUAUUUGCAGGGGUUCGUGAAGGGAACUUGGAUCUGGUGUCUUUCUUGGUUCGGAGUUCAGCUUCCUCAGAGGAUGUGACAGUGACUAUGAUGUGGUGUUUGCUGGUGGAGAUUAGGUUUUUGAUUCUUUUGUUUUAUGUGGCAUUCGGGCCUAAGCUUGUGUGGGUUUCCCAUUGUAUCUUGGGUUGUUGCUCUCAUUUUGCUUGUGUAAUGACCCGAAAUUUCUAAUUUGGAAGCUAAUUACUAAGAUAGGCCCAAAAUUAUUUUCUUAGCCAAAAUUUCACUAAAAGAAAAAUCUUUGGUAUUUUAUUAUGGCUGCAUUUAACCUCAUUGUUAGACUGCCUACGUACCCCACUAGUAAUUCACAUUUCACUUCUAGAUCAACAGACUAAAAUUUCAUUUUGAUCUAACGGUCGGAUCUCUGCCAAUCACAACAUCAAGUGGCGGUCGACGUUUUAUUUUAUUUUACGAACUUACAAAUACAAUUCGGGAAGAUCCAUAUGUCGGAUUCCCAAUCUGUAAGUUCCUAAGAUCAUCAAAUAUUACGUACUUCAAUGUAUCAAAGUUUGGUGACGAUCCAACGGUUGGAUCGUCGUUUCACAAUUUGAUCAGGAACGAUAUCGUAGUGAAUUUAGGUUCAAACGAUCAAUCUACGUCAUACGAAUAUCAAAACUAAAUUCAGAACAUCGAAUUAGCCUAAAAAUAGCAUUGACGGCCCUCUGGCCACACAUCGCCACACUUGCCGCUGUGGAUGGCGGUCGAUCGCCCCGACUCGUCGGAAAAUUCCAAAUAUUUCUAAAAAUUCUCAAAAUUUGUAGAAAUGAAGAUCUUGAAGAGUAGAACAAACUUUAUACAUGCGGUCAAGUCCAAUUUGGCUAGGAAAAGCUCCAAUUUCACUCAAAACCCGCCGGAACCCUAGAAAAUUGAAUGGCCUCGAUCCUCCACCAUCGGUGCUCUGCCCCCCCCCAACCAAAGCUUGGGAAAUAUUCCUGGGUUCAAGAGAAGUCAACUCAUGGUGGUGGUCCAUGUGGUAGCUUCAGAAAUGGCGGGAACUGCCGUGGGUGCCCUCAGACUCACCGGAGAGAACGGGGUUUGUUCUUCGUGAAAUUGUGACCCACUGUCUUCAAUCUUGGGUGGAACUGGAAGCUGGGAUGACAAUGAGUUGUUUGGGGGUAAUGGCGAUGCCCAGUUCUCCAGGAGGACGCCGGAAUUGGCAUCGGGAUUUUGCUAUUUGGGUCGGGUCACGUAGGUUGAGGGAGACCCGGUUUCCCCUUCUUUUCUUUUAUCCCAUGUCUCCUUUCCCUCUUCCUCGUUGGGCCAAAAAUCCCCAUCCACCACUCUCUUUUCUUCCUUUCUCUUAUUUUCUUUUAAUCUGAGUUGUCCACGUGUCAUCACAGAUAAUGCUCAAAAUCUAGAGCUUCAAGAUGAAGCAAAAAUUACAUAUACAACCCUCGUUUUAAACGUUAAUAACUCUUUCGUCAUAAUUCCGUUUCACGAAGGUUUUUGCCUACGCACUCGUAGGAUCGAACUCUAUCCAAUAUGUCAAGAAAUAUAACAAAAUACAUGAGGAUAAAAUACGUCCUCGAAAAAUUACGUUUAACCCCCCCAUUAGGACAUUUCUGUCAUUUCCACUUGUCGAAAAAAAAAAUUCACCUAGCCACAUAUUUUAAAAUUUUCCAGGGUAUUACAGCUUGGGCCUUUAUUUUCUCUGCAGUUGUUUAUCCUGUUCUUUUUGAGCCUGGUACUAGUUUUUUUAUUGUAAUGAAAGUUGUCUUCGUGAUUAAAAAAAAUGGAAAAGUUGGUAAUGCAAGUAUAUCUACGUUUAGAUGUGGGUAAAAUGGCUGGGAAGUAAAUAUGUCCACUGCAAACUGCAAAGCAACAGCUUGCACUUUGUAAAACAAUAUUUAUAUAUUACUCAUGACUAUACUAAUUGUGGGUGUCAUAACAUUUUUUUUUUUUGGUAAACGGGUGUCAUAACAAUUUGGAACUUAGCCAAUGGUGGUAUAUCAUUUUUUUCCCCAACUUGUCAAUCCCCAGUCACCCUUGCCAUCAUAGAUCCGCCCCUUUCCCCACUCAUUGGUUUGGUGAUAGAAUAUUGUCUCCAUAUUUCCUUUCCUUUGUUAUCUGUAUGCCAAAAUAGAUAUUUGUGAACAUAUAGUAAUAAUAAAAUUCUAUCACUAUCAGAGUCAGAAUGAAGUCAGAGAUUUGUGUGAAUGAAGCAUCCUCCAACAACAGAACUACACUUAAAAAACUCAAGAACUUAUUGAACACUUAAAUAUUAAUCUAUACAGUUUUUGAUACAUUAUAUUGCAAUAUCCCUUGACGCGUUUUCAUGUUCUGAAAGCGUUUUAUGACAACAUGAUUAUCAAUACCAUCAAAUGUCUCUCAAUAACAAUAAUCAUGUUAUCAUUUAUCCAUUGAUCUCUUAUUCGAUUUCUCAUUUAAUUCUUCAGAAGUUUCAUGGCUGAAAAUGCUCUUCAACGGUGGCAGUAACAACUGAAAGAGUUAGUGCUAAUGUCACAAGCAAAUAAACCAGCUGAUAUUUUUGCAAGAUAUCCAAUACCUUUUAUACCGGAAAACUGAAUGCUAAACCACAUAUCCACAAUGUUAAGUCUGAAAUUGAAUCUUAAGUAUCUCCUGCUCAUUUAUAGAGAAAUCCUUAGAAUAAAACUGAGCAAGACAUAAUUAAAUUAAUUAUUAAUUUAAUUGUCAUCCCGUGGGGUUUUGGGGGAUGCAAAAAGUAGAAUUAUCUUAAUUGUCUACCUAUUUUUUCAAAGGAAAACUAAUAAAAAGGGUUUGAAAACUUUGAGUUUUAACAAUAAGGACAAAAUAAAGGGUAAAGUUAAAAGUACAAGGAAUGAUUUUUUAGCGUAAAAAUGUGAUUUUUCGUUAAAGUGAACAGUACUGGAAGUUAAAAAAAUCUGAGUGGGUGUAUCCGCCCCUCCUAGGCCCAUGAUCAGAGCUUCAAAAUAGUAAUUUUUGUGUUCAUAUAUUUUAUGUUUUUUUUUCUAUGUAGAGGGAGUGGAAGAUGACUAUUUUUGGAAGGGGUGUGAUAUUCACACACUCUUUUUUACUUCUCACAUAUCCUUCUAAGUUUUGGCCGUUGGAUCAGAUGAAUUCAAGAAAAUCAAAAGACAAAAAUUAACAAGAAGUGUGUGAGAAGUAAAAAUGAGUGAAUGAAUAACACACCCCUUUUUGGAAUUCCAACAACUCCCACUAUAAGAGAAUGAGAGAUUAUAUUCACAUAUCCCCAAAUUACUUUCCCCAUACCAUUUUACUUUUAUUCAAUAUUUUUUGAUAUUCUACACACCAGUAGCACUUGAUAGAAAAAAAUUAAAAAAUUAAAAGGGUGUGAGGGAAGUAAUUUAGAAGGUGUGAAUAUAACGUCUCUAAGAGAAAAAAUUGUUUCGCACAUGCUAGUGUUCGUUAUUGAGUGAUAGCUCCCUAUUUGGCUAGAAGAUGCAAUCUCGAGGCUUCCUCUCUCUAAGCUAGCAAGACGAGAUCGGUAUUUUCCUUAGUUACUAAUAACGCAUUUUCAUAUGUAUAACUUUGUCACAUCACAAGGGAUUAUUGACACGAAAUAUUUGCCACAACAAAGACACAAAGUGUAAGUCAAUCUCAAAACAUAUGGCAUAUUAUAUAAUCAAAAGUAAUCCUACUUAGUUAACAUCGAUCAAAUAUUUACACCAUAUCAAACACGGUAUAUCAUCAAUCUCCAACACUGUAAAUUAAUAUAUGCUACCAACCAAUCACAACCCCUAGCUAAUACUGUCAACAAAGAUCGUCCCUUGUGAGUUUGAAAGGUUGCUAAGUUUAUAAUUUAACAUCUCAAUUUUAUAACCAUAUAACGAAAAAAUAGACGGUGGUAAACAAAAGUGGUGACAUGUGACACAAAAUCUUAGGCCAAAACCCAAAUGCCACGUGUCACUCUUCCAAAACCCAAAUGCCACGUGUCAAUCUUCCAUAGAUGCACCCACCGUUACCUGACUUUUAAUGAUGUCCACUUGUUUAAAUACUUGCGAUUUCUGCGGAAUUUUUGGGACUCCUUUACUUCCGUCAAAUAACUACUAAUAUUAAAAUCUUGUAAAAGGUCCAUAAUACCCUCACUCCAAUGCUCUCAGAUUUGACGUUGGGUUGCGUAAUUAACACUAAGAUGGAAAGGGUAAAGGGGUCCCGAAAUAUCAUCAAAUCUCAGCUGCCAGUCCCGAACACUCCACUGUCUCCCUCUAAACUCUCUGAAACUCUCUCUGAAAAAUUUCUUGUUACAUGGCGUCCUCUUCAAUGGCAGCGAACGGAGUGCUCACGCCGCGAUCGUCGGUGUUGCCGAACUCGAAGCAAACCCAGAACAUCAGCCGCCUCUCCUUCAGCGGCUCUCAUCUCUCCGGGACCAAAAUCCCCGCCCCCAGCACCUGUAUGAGGAAAUGCCCCACUCACAGAGUCCCGCCGCUGGUUGUCUCUCCGAAGGCUGUUUCCGAUUCCAAGAACUCCCAGACGUGUCUUGAUCCCGAUGCGAGCCGGGUAAGUGAUUCAUUUCUCUCCCUCUCUAUCGCAUUUGGUG